CUCCUCCUUCCAAACUAAACUGCACCAAAGCCUUCUGCCCUGUUAGGGGCUGGGAAGGCCAAAAAGGAACAUGCCUGUUUUCUCCUUCUGAGUUUGGAACUGACUGAGAAAUAAGACCAAGAGACAGACCACUGGAGAUCUAAAUAUCAGCUUUAUUUAUUGAUAAAGCUGACCUGAACAGUGUGGCUUGACCUGCAGCCAAAUGGGUUCCUGAAAUGUCCCUUCUGAUCUUUGCUUACCCUGCAAAGCCGGCGUGGCCACACUCACCACAUGGCAGACCAGAAUGCAACUGUCCUGUGGACAGGCUGACUCUAAAAGGACACACAGAGAGAAAAAGCAGGGGCAGAUUCAUCAGAUGGUUUGCAGGUGGCAGUGGCCGAGGUUUAGUCUCACACAACACAACAAAUGAGAAAGGAGUCUUUAAAAAGAGAAGAAAUCUUACAGUAAAUCAUUCUUUGUUGAUUUGGUAAAUGUUCUACUUUAAUAUUCUAAGUUUUAACUUUUGUAAUGAAGGGUCUUUAAAAUGUGGCAUACUUGAAAUUCUGUUUUAAGGUGUAGAUUUUAAAAUCUACUUUUAAUUGUAAAGUAAUCUUUUAAUAGAAUGUAGAAGUGUGAGGUUUAAAACUGCUACUCUUUGCUUCUUGCUAUAGGGAAGUGAUGAUUGUGAUAUGACAUGAAGAAUAGCUACCAGAAUAGUGCUGGUGGGGACCUAGAUCCUCAUGGCUAUACUGGGUAUUGUGAACAAAGUAGUUUCUUGUGUUAAGAACUGACUUAAGAGUUUACUAGGUUAAGGCACUAAAAUUUAAGAACUUCUCUUUUAUUUUUCUACCUCAAAUCCUAACCCUAAUUUCUCAUAGCCACUAAUAAGCCACCUCCAGAUGCCAACAAUGAACUUUUGUUUUUGCAAACAAAUACGUUUUAAAGACCUCAAAGGGAAUCAAUUCAGAACUUGAAUGCAGAAUAGUUUU
ensembl:lncRNA